CGUUGGGAGCGCUCCCAUAUGGUCGACCUGCAGGCGGCCGCGAAUUCACUAGUGAUUCGUAUUACCGCGGCUGCUGGCACAGAGUUAGCCGGUGCUUAUUCUGUCGGUAACGUCAAAACAGCAAGGUAUUCGCUUACUGCCCUUCCUCCCAACUUAAAGUGCUUUACAAUCCGAAGACCUUCUUCACACACGCGGCAUGGCUGGAUCAGGCUUUCGCCCAUUGUCCAAUAUUCCCCACUGCUGCCUCCCGUAGGAGUCUGGACCGUGUCUCAGUUCCAGUGUGACUGAUCAUCCUCUCAGACCAGUUACGGAUCGUCGCCUUGGUGAGCCAUUACCUCACCAACUAGCUAAUCCGACCUAGGCUCAUCUGAUAGCGCAAGGCCCGAAGGUCCCCUGCUUUCUCCCGUAGGACGUAUGCGGUAUUAGCGUUCCUUUCGAAACGUUGUCCCCCACUACCAGGCAGAUUCCUAGGCAUUACUCACCCGUCCGCCGCUGAAUCGAAGAGCAAGCUCUUCUCAUCCGCUCGACUUGCAUGUGUUAGGCCUGCCCCCAGCGUUCAAUCUGAGCCAUGAUCAAACUCUAAUCGAAUUCCCGCGG
rnacentral:rRNA from 1 species